rnacentral:rRNA from 1 species
UACGGAGGGGGCUAGCGUUGUUCGGAAUUACUGGGCGUAAAGCGCACGUAGGCGGCUUUGCAAGUUAGAGGUGAAAGCCCCGGGCUCAACCCGGGAGGGUCGUCGUGAACCGGGGGCUUGAGGCCGGUAGAGGUGGGUGGAACUCCUGGUGGAGUGGUGAAAUGCGUAGAGAUCAGGAAGAACACCCGUGGCGAAGGCGGCCCACUGGGCCGGUACUGGACGCUGAGGCACGAAGGCGUGGGGAGCGAACGGG